AUGCUGGAUUUCAUGAAGGCCUACGCAAAGAAGCAUAGUAUGCCAGGGGAGUCUGAUAAAGAAGAUACAGCAACUGGUGAUGAAGAAGAGGAUGCAACAGCAAAUCAAACUAGUAGUAGGACAACAACAAAAAGGAAGGCUGAGACUGUCCAAACUGAAUUACCGACACAAAAGGCUUCAAGAACAAUUGCCGGGAUGAUUAGGAAGACUCCGGAAGAAGUCAUUGAGCUAAGGCACUCGAAGAAUCCUUCUCAAGCCGCAUUGAACGCAGGUUGCUUCAAAAGGAGCACCGAGGAUAAGGAUAGAGUUGAUGAUCAUUGGGCAACAUUUUUCUAUGCUAAUGCCAUUCCCUUCAAUGUUACCCGAUCAAGAUCCUUUGAGAUUGCAUUGGAGUCCACCGGGCAAUAUGGUCCAGGGUACAUCCCCCCAACUAUUCAUGCUCUUAGGCUUCCACUUCUUGUGAAAGCAAAGAAGAAGACACAUGCAUUGAGAGAGCAACAUGAGCUGGCUUGGCAAGAGUAUGGCUGCACACUAAUGUCCGACGGGUGGACCGAUGGGAGGACUAGGCACUUGGUCAACUUCCUUGUGAAUAGUCCAGCCGGGACUUUCUUCAUUGAUAGCGUUGACAUAUCAGCCCUAGUAGCCAGCAAAGAUUUGUUGGCAGAUUUGAUGGAGAAAAGGAUCAACGACAUUGGAAGAGGCUACGUGGUUCAGAUUUGCACGGAUAAUGGUGCGAACUACAAGGCAGCGGGUAGACUCUUAACGGAGAGGAUCCCUACAUUAUGGUGGACCCCUUGUGCAGCCGAUUGUUUGAACCUUAUGUUGGAGUCCAUUUGCAAAAUCAAGCAAUUCAGCGAGUGUAUUACAAAUGGAAAAAGGGUGUCUACAUUCAUCUACAGGCAUGGCAAGGUUUUAGAUGAAAUGAGAGUGAAGACCGGCAACCGUGAUCUUGUGAGGGCUGGAGCUACUCGCUUUGCCACAAAUUUUCUCAACUUGCAAAGCUUGCACAAACAUAGGCAAGCUCUUAAAGAAUUGUUUGUGGGUGAUGUUUGGCAUAGCAAUAAGAAGUUGUCAACCUCACCGGUGGGACAAAAAGUUCAAGAAGAUGUGUUGUCCAUUAGUUUUUGGAACUCAGUAGAGACUUGCAUGAAAGUUUCUCUACCUCUUCUAAGGGUGCUAAGGAUUGUUGAUGGCGAUGAGAAGCCGGCGAUGAACGAGGUUAUGGCAGCAAUGGAUUAUGCAAAGGAGAGAAUCAAGGCUGCGAUAGAUGACAAACCAACGUUGGUUAAGAAGGUGAUAAAAAUAGUAGAGGACAAGUGGGAAUCUCAAAUGGGGGUGAAGUUGUAUGGAGCUACACUAUUCUUAAACCCAAAUAGGAUCUAUGGUCUCAAAGCUAAGCCCGAGAAAGCACGAUAUUGUCAAAGGCUUCGGCAUAUGUUCAAUGAGGUGCUAUUGCACAUGGAGCCGGAUGAUGAUAAAGCAAGCGUGAUAAGUAGAUUGGAUGAUGACUAUGAAAGAGGUGAAGGUGAAUGCUUCAGCUCUAAGUUGGCAAUCAAUGACCGAACAAAAAAGAGUCCUCGUAAGUUACUUCAGCUCUAG
rnacentral:rRNA from 1 species